AUUGAACGCUGGCGGCAGGCUUAACACAUGCAAGUCGAGCGGAGAUGAGGUGCUUGCACCUUAUCUUAGCGGCGGACGGGUGAGUAAUGCUUAGGAAUCUGCCUAUUAGUGGGGGACAACAUUCCGAAAGGAAUGCUAAUACCGCAUACGUCCUACGGGAGAAAGCAGGGGAUCUUCGGACCUUGCGCUAAUAGAUGAGCCUAAGUCGGAUUAGCUAGUUGGUGGGGUAAAGGCCUACCAAGGCGACGAUCUGUAGCGGGUCUGAGAGGAUGAGCCGCCACACUGGGACUGAGACACGGCCCAGACUCCUACGGGAGGCAGCAGUGGGGAAUAUUGGACAAUGGGGGGAACCCUGAUCCAGCCAUGCCGCGUGUGAAGAAGGCCUUAUGGUUGUAAAGCACUUUAAGCGAGGAGGAGGCUACUGAGACUAAUACCCUUGGAUAGUGGACGUUACUCGCAGAAUAAGCACCGGCUAACCCUGUGCCAGCCGCCGCAGUAACAC
rnacentral:rRNA from 1 species